UGGGGAAUUUUGGACAAUGGGCGAAAGCCUGAUCCAGCCAUGCCGCGUGAGUGAAGAAGGCCUUCGGGUUGUAAAGCUCUUUUAGUCGGAAAGAAAGAGUUGCAAUGAAUAAUUGUGAUUUAUGACGGUACCGACAGAAAAAGCACCGGCUAUCUACGUGCCAGCAGCCGCGGUAAUACGUAGGGUGCGAGCGUUAAUCGGAAUUACUGGGCGUAAAGGGUGCGCAGGCGGUCUUGCAAGUCAGAUGUGAAAGCCCCGGGCUUAACCUGGGAAUUGCGUUUGAAACUACAAGGCUAGAGUGCAGCAGAGGGGAGUGGAAUUCCAUGUGUAGCAGUGAAAUGCGUAGAGAUGUGGAAGAACACCGAUGGCGAAGGCAGCUCCCUGGGUUGACACUGACGCUCAUGCACGAAAGCGUGGGGAGCAAACA
rnacentral:rRNA from 1 species